UGGGGAAUAUUGGACAAUGGGCGAAAGCCUGAUCCAGCAAUGCCGCGUGAGUGAUGAAGGCCUUAGGGUUGUAAAGCUCUUUUACCAGGGAUGAUAAUGACGGUACCCCAAGAAGAAGCUCCGGCUAACUUCGUGCCAGCAGCCGCGGUAAUACGAAGGGGGCUAGCGUUGUUCGGAUUUACUGGGCGUAAAGCGCGUGUAGGCGGGCUGGAAAGUUGGGGGUGAAAUCCCGAGGCUCAACCUCGGAACUGCCUCCAAAACUUCCAGCCUGGACUCAAGUAGAGGCAAGUGGAAUUGCGAGUGUAGAGGUGAAAUUCGUAGAUAUUCGCAGGAACACCAGUGGCGAAGGCGACUUGCUGGACUUGUAGUGACGCUGAGACGCGAAAGCGUGGGGAGCAAACAGGAUUAGAUACCCCUGUAGUCCCUGAGCGGGCUGGCAAGGCGCAU
rnacentral:rRNA from 1 species